CCUACGGGAGGCAGCAGUAGGGAAUCUUCCACAAUGGGCGAAAGCCUGAUGGAGCAACGCCGCGUGGGUGAAGAAGGUCUUCGGAUCGUAAAACCCUGUUGUUAGAGAAGAAAGUGCGGGAGAGUAACUGUUCACGUUUCGACGGUAUCUAACCAGAAAGCCACGGCUAACUACGUGCCAGCAGCCGCGAUAAUACGUAGGUGGCAAGCGUUAUCCGGAUUUAUUGGGCGUAAAGGGAACGCAGGCGGUCUUUUAAGUCUGAUGUGAAAGCCUUCGGCUUAACCGGAGUAGUGCAUUGGAAACUGGGAGACGUGAGUGCAGAAGAGGAGAGUGGAACGCCAUGUGUAGCGGUGAAAUGCGGAGAUAUAUGGAAGAACACCAGUGGCGAAAGCGGCUCUCUGGUCUGUAACUGACGCUGAGGUUCGAAAGCGUGGGUAGCAAACAGGAUUAGAUACCCCUGUAGUC
rnacentral:rRNA from 1 species